GAUCAUGGCUCAGGAUGAACGCUGGCGGCGUGCCUAAUACAUGCAAGUCGUACGAGGGAAGUCCAGCUUGCUGGACGGAACGAGUGGCGAACGGGUGAGUAAUACGUAAGCAACCUGCCUGCAAGGACUGGGAUAACACCUGGAAACGGGCGCUAAUACCGGAUAGGUAACGGAGGGGCAUCCUUCUGUUAUUAAAGGUUAAAAACACAAGCAGAUGGGCUUACGGUGCAUUAGCUGGUUGGUGAGGUAACGGCCCACCAAGGCGAUGAUGCAUAGCCGGCCUGAGAGGGUGAACGGCCACAUUGGGACUGAGACACGGCCCAGACUCCUACGGGAGGCAGCAGUAGGGAAUUUUCGGCAAUGGACGCAAGUCUGACCGAGCAACGCCGCGUGAGUGAAGAAGGUUUUCGGAUUGUAAAGCUCUGUUGUAAGGGAAGAACAGCACGGAGAGAAUCCGUGAAUGACGGUACCUUACCAGAAAGCCACGGCUAACUACGUGCCAGCCGCCGC
rnacentral:rRNA from 1 species